rfam:Triticum urartu cultivar G1812 contig730109, whole genome shotgun sequence.
UUUAUACUUCCUUGGUCCCAAAAUUCUUGUCUUAGAUUUUUCCAAAUACGGAUAUAUGUAGUUAGAUACAUCCGUAUCUAGAUAAAUCUAAGACAAGAAUUUUGAGACGGAGGGAGUAUUAU